UUGGGGAUUGUUGAAGAGCAGAGGGAUCUAGGAGUGCAGGUACAUAGUUCCUUGAAAGUAGCAUCGCAGGUAGAUAGGGUGGUCAAAAAGGCUUUUGGCACAUAGGCCUGCAUCAGCAGA